rnacentral:rRNA from 1 species
AACGAACGCUGGCGGCGUGCCUAACACAUGCAAGUCGAACGUGAUUGGAAGCUUGCUUCCAUGAAAGUGGCGCACGGGUGAGUAACGCGUAGAUAAUCUACCUGGUGAUCUGGGAUAACACCUCGAAAGGGGUGCUAAUACCGGAUAAGCCCACAGGGUCUUUGGACCCAGCGGGAAAAGGGGGGGACCUUCGGGCCUUCUGUCAUCAGAUGAGUCUGCGUACCAUUAGCUAGUUGGUAGGGUAAAGGCCUACCAAGGCGACGAUGGUUAGCUGGUCUGAGAGGAUGAUCAGCCACUCUGGAACUGAGACACGGUCCAGACUCCUACGGGAGGCAGCAGUGGGGAAUUUUGCGCAAUGGGCGAAAGCCUGACGCAGCAACGCCGCGUGAGUGAUGAAGGCUCUUGGGUCGUAAAGCUCUGACAGAGGGAAAGAAAUGCAGGGGUGCUAAUAUCACCUUUGCUUGACGGUACCCUCAAAGGAAGCACCGGCUAACUCCGUGCCAGCCGCCGCAGUAAGAC